rnacentral:rRNA from 1 species
CUGAGAGCACGCCGCGUGAGUGAUGAGGUCUCUCGGAUCGUAAAACUCUGUUAUUAGGGAAGAACAAACGUGUAAGUAACUGUGCACGUCUUGACGGUACCUAAUCCGAAAGCCACGGCUAACUACGUGCCAGCAGCCGCGGUAAUACGUAGGUGGCAAGCGUUAUCCGGAAUUAUUGGGCGUAAAGCGCGCGUAGGCGGUUUUUUAAGUCUGAUGUGAAAGCCCACGGCUCAACCGUGGAGGGUCAUUGGAAACUGGAAAACUUGAGUGCAGAAGAGGAAAGUGGAAUUCCAUGUGUAGCGGUGAAAUGCGCAGAGAUAUGGAGGAACACCAGUGGCGAAGGCGACUUUCUGGUCUGUAACUGACGCUGAUGUGCGAAAGCGUGGGGAUCAAACA